rnacentral:rRNA from 1 species
AGCAGCCGCGGUAAUUCCAGCUCCAAUAGCGUAUAUUAAAGUUGUUGCAGUUAAAAAGCUCGUAGUUGAAUUUCGGGGUUAGUAAGUUGGUCGUGCCUACGGUAUGCACUGGCUUUACUGAUCCCUCCUUCUUGAAGAACUGUAAUGUCAUUAAUUUGGUGUUGCAGGGAAACAGGACUGUUACUUUGAAAAAAUUAGAGUGUUUAAAGCAGGCUA